rnacentral:tRNA from 1 species
GGUAAAAUGGCUGAAUAUAGGCAAUAAAUUGUAAAUUUAUGUAUGAAAAAAAAUCUUUCUUUUAUCA